UACGUAGGUGGCAAGCGUUGUCCGGAUUUAUUGGGUUUAAAGGGUGCGUAGGCGGCUUUGUAAGUCAGUGGUGAAAUAUGGCAGCUCAACUGUCAGGGUGCCAUUGAUACUGCAGAGCUUGAGUACAGAUGAGGUAGGCGGAAUUGACGGUGUAGCGGUGAAAUGCUUAGAUAUCGUCAAAGAACACCGAUAGCGAAGGCAGCUUACUGGGCUGUAACUGACGCUGAGGCACGAAAAGUGUGGGGGAUCAAAACAGG
rnacentral:rRNA from 1 species